AACGUAGGACACGAGCGUUAUCCGGAGUUACUGGGCGUAAAGGGUGCGCAGGCGGUUUUGUAAGCCAGAUGUGAAAUCCCCGGGCUCAACCUGGGAAUGGCAUUUGGGACUGCAAGGCUAGAGUGUGGCAGAGGAGACUGGAAUUCCUGGUGUAGCAGUGAAAUGCGUAGAUAUCAGGAGGAAUACCGAUGGCGAAGGCAGGUCUCUGGGUUAACACUGACGCUCAUGCACGAAAGCGUGGGGAGCAAACAGG
rnacentral:rRNA from 1 species